GAUGAAGAACGUAGCGAAAUGCGAUAAGUAAUGUGAAUUGCAGAAUUCAGUGAAUCAUCGAAUCUUUGAACGCACAUUGCGCCCGCUAGUAUUCUGGCGGGCAUGUCUGUUCGAGCGUCAUUUCAACCAUCAAGCCCUGUUUAGGCUUGUGUUGGGGCCCUGCGGUUGCCGCAGCCCCCUAAAUGCAGUGGCGGGCUCGUUGUCACUCCGAGCGCAGUAGCGUAUCUCGCUCUGGGCGUGGCGGCGGGUGCUAGCCGUGAAACAUCCACUAAGGUUGACCUCGGAUCAGGUAGGAAUACCCGCUGAACUUAAGCAUAUCAAUAAGCGGAGGA
rnacentral:misc_RNA from 1 species